CGUCAGCGGCACGGGGACGCUGUCCCAGAGCUACCAGUACGAGGUGUGUCAGGAGAGGAUCUGGGACCAAAGAAUUUAAGAUUUUGAACUCUGUUGUCUCCAUCCAACAGAAGUCUGUAAAUGAUGUGGAGGAAAACUCACAUUUUGUAAAUAACAGGUUUCAAUUAGGAAUUUGGAUGAAGAAUUUGAAAGAAAAUCUUGAAGAAUUAAUCCUUUCCCUUUUGCUGAGGGAAUUUUAAGAAAUCACAUCUAUAGCUGAAGACAAAAGCCUGUAAGAAGAGUUCGGGACCCUAAGGCUUGCUAUUCACCAUCAUUUCCGGACGAGUUACCGACUAGUAGAUCUAUCACCGUCUCUACAGUAGAGCUGAGCCCUGUUUCUGGAAAGACAUUUGUGGAAUUAAA